GCGAUCUUAGUAUAGUGGUCAGUAUAUCAGUUUGUGGGCCUCUAAAGAGUCAAUUCACUGACGACGCAAGUUCGAUUCUUGCAGAUCGCA